UAAAUAUAUAUUCACACUAACAAACGCCCGGGUAUUACGAGCCUCAGCUUAAAACCCAAAGGACUUGACGGUGUCCCAUCCAACUAGAGGAGCCUGUUCUAUAAUCGAUAACCCCCGAUACACCUAACCCCCCCUUGCCAAUCAGCCUGUAUACCUCCGUCGCAAACUUACCAUAUGAAUGCCAAUAGUAGGUUAAAUGGUUAAAUCACCAACACGUCAGGUCAAGGUGCAGCUCAUGAUGGGGAAAGCAAUGGGCUACAAUUUCUAAAAUAGAACACACGGAAUGCUGCAUGAAACACAGCCACGAAGGCGGAUUUAGUAGUAAAAAGAAAAUAAAGUGUCCUUUUUAAUAAGGCCCUGGGACGUGUACACACCGCCCGUCACCCUCUUCAACAGCACACAAUACGUUCCUAACAACUCUUGCACUUUAGAAGAGGCAAGUCGUAACAUGGUAAGUGUACCGGAAGGUGCACUUGGAUUAA
rnacentral:rRNA from 1 species